AUGAAUUCUCAGGGCGGGGUGGAAUUCCCCACCGGCGGUAAUGCAUUUUGUGCGCAGCCCGCGAGCGCCUGCAUGCGAUUUUGUGCAGGGUCAGCAGAUCUGGUGUAACUCCAGAGCCGACGGUUAAAGUCCGGAUGAGAGAGAAUCAGU
rnacentral:ncRNA from 2 species